rnacentral:lncRNA from 1 species
UCCUGCCAUGUGGGAGUCAUCAACCCAAUGGGUGACUUCUUUUCUGCUCCACAUAUAAGAUAGUCUCCAUCUUAAAGAUAAAUUCACAUGAUCUUCGAAUUCGAAAGGCAGCAGUAAGGCAGAAAUUAUUUCUCUUCUUUCUCUGGCAGCAGUAGAAGGCAUAGCAUGGGCCUCCUAAAGGAUUACUUAGACCGAGCCAGGACAAUGAGAUUCAAUCCUGAAAUUUUUUUCAAACUUGGAAAGAGGAUCUCUUUUCCAUGGGAUUGAAAAUAGAGCUCCUGAGAACCUGCCUGAUGGAGAGUGCAACAUAGAGAAAAGCAGAACGAAGACACAGAGAGAAGGAGUUCCAUUUUGACUUCUAGAUCCAACCUUGCCU